rnacentral:lncRNA from 12 species
AUGUUUUUUAUCUCAGACAUCUCAAUCAGAUUUUUUUUAAUCCGAUGUUUUUUUAUCUCAAACAUCUCAAUCGGUUGUUUUUUAUCUCAACGAAAGCCAUUGUUUUUUUUUUUCCCCUCAUGCCUCCUAACAUUGCUUCUUGUGAGAGGGUUGAAAAAAACCCCUUCUCCUCUUGUUUAUACAUAUUGUGGCAAAAUGUAGGUACUUUCAGUUUCAAUAUUUUGUGAAAAAGUUCAAAAAACCCUGUUCUUUAUCACAGACAUAAGGUCGCCAAAUACAGGAUUUAUAGUGCCAUAUUUUGUGAGAAUCUUCAGAUAACCUUGUCAUUUUUAUACAUAUCAUAGUGAUACAGAGGUACUUUUUGUUCCAAUAUUUUGUGAAAAGCUUCAAAAAAAAAAAAAAAACAAAAACCCCGUCUUCUUUUCUACACAUAUGCUGGCUAAAUAUAGGUAUCUUUUGUGACAAUAUUUUGUGAAAAGUUUCAAAAAACCCUGUCCUCUUUUUUCCACAUAUCUUGGCUGAACAUAGGUAUUUUUUAAUACUAUUUUGUGAAAAAGACUUCAAAACCUUGUCCUGUGUUUUACACGUCUCCUGGCUGAACCUAGUUAUUUUUUGUGACAACUUUUGUGUGUGACACGCUUUCAAAAACCAUAUCCUCUUUUAUACAUGUAUCCUGGUCUAACAUACACAUUUCUUUUGUGACAAGAUUUUGUGAAAGGCUUCGAAAACCCAACCUCUUUCUAACACAUAUCCUGGGUGAACGUAGGUAUUUUUAGUGACAAUAGUUGGUGACAGGUUUCAAAGCUCUGGCCACAGAAAACAUAAUUCAGCAGACAUUAAGCAAAUCUAGAGAUAGGUCAAACAAUACCUCUGGCCACAUUUUUACGUAUAUCCUCUUCUAAAAAAUUGAGAUUUUAUUUAUUUAUUUAUUAUUUAUUUAUUUAUUUAAAUGUUCUUAUGUUAUUAUGUUCUUUGUGAGAGGAUAGAAUGGGCCAGGCUCGGGGAGAGAGCCGAGCAUGCACACAAGCCUCCAGUGGCAGUAGAUAAGCGAGGAAAGUCCUUUGCUCUCCUCCGGGUGCCAAGUAUCCCCCCAACGACUGCAGGGUGAGUAGGUGUAAGAGUAGCUAAACGACAACCACAGCUGUGGGUUCAGAAACCAUCUUUUUGUGUAGAAAGUAAUAUAGCUUAUUGAUGAAGACUU